rnacentral:rRNA from 1 species
UGAGUAACCUGCCCUUAACUCUGGGAUAAGCCUGGGAAACUGGGUCUAAUACCGGAUAUGACUCCUCAUCGCAUGGUGGGGGGUGGAAAGCUUUAUUGUGGUUUUGGAUGGACUCGCGGCAUAUCAGCUAGUUGGUGUGGGUAAUGGCCCACCAAGGCGACGACGGGUAGCCGGCAUGAGAGGGUGACCGGCCACACUGGGACUGAGACACGGCCCAGACUCCUACGGGAGCAG